rnacentral:rRNA from 1 species
UAAUACGUAGGGAGCAAGCGUUGUUCGGAUUUACUGGGCGUAAAGGGCGCGUAGGCGGCGCGGUAAGUCAGCUGUGAAAUCUCCGAGCUUAACUCGGAACGGCCAGCUGAUACUGCAGUGCUAGAGUGCAGAAGGGGCAAUCGGAAUUCUUGGUGUAGCGGUGAAAUGCGUAGAUAUCAAGAGGAACACCUGAGGUGAAGACGGGUUGCUGGGCUGACACUGACGCUGAGGCGCGAAAGCCAGGGGAGCAAACGGG